CAAUAUCGCUGUUUGAUCUCGGCCUCCGAUCAGCACGCUCCUGCCAGUUGACCCCACAGCAAUCACAAGGACGGCAUUUACUUUUGCUCUCACUUCUCUAGAAGCUAGUCAGAGUCAUACACAGACGGAGAGCUCUCAUGGAUGUUGAGAUACAGAUGGUACGCACUGGGCAUGGCUGUGGACCCCAUCCCCC
rnacentral:lncRNA from 1 species